CGCCGACUACCCUAAUGUAAGGAGGUUUGGGGUUGAGGGAGGUUCAUCUCCAUCUGAUAUGACGGCCGCUACCGUCGUUGCUUUUCCUGGAAGGAAGCUCUCUUGAGGCUCAUCUUCUUCAAUCGUUCUCCAUCUCAAGCUUUAGCAUCAAGCCUGGUGGAGUUGUCCUGGGGAACUUGCAUGAAAUCGAAUCAACGAUUUACCAGAAGAUUAAAAGGCAGGAAGCAGUGAGAACUAGUGGUUAUCAGAAAUUGAAGGCGAGUCUUUGGAGAAUGGAGUUCAUGGCCGUGAGAUGGAGAUGGAUUUUCCAUCUUCAAGCAAAUCUCUGAGAUUUGCCCCUAGACCAGGUUAUGGACAAGUAGGGACAAAGUGUAUAGUAAAUGCGAACCUGAAGUUGUAUUCAUCGAAACUUCCUUCAUAUAAUUCAUUGUUGCAAUUGCAGAAGCUAUGGAGUAGGAUUUUCUUUAUCAAUGUCGGAUGGUGACCAUAACUCCUGAGGUUGUAUCAAGAAAUUUAAACAGAGCUAUCAUGGCAGAGCUUGUGAAAUUGUACGAAGGUUCGACCUGGGAAUGAGAUUGCCCGCUUAUGAUAGAAGAAAGAGCUUAUACGCCGCUGGUGAGUUUCCCUUUACUUCGAAGGAGUUCAACAUUAAACUUCUGGAAGAAGAUGAUGGAAUUAGAGAUAGGACAUGCAGAGAAUCUAGGCGUCCAAAGGUUGUGGAUUGAGUGUGACUUGGUCGCAGUGGUUACUUUGUUUCAGAACAACAAGGUUCGUUGGAUCGUUCGUCAAAGGUGGUUAGCAUGCAUGAGGUGUUUAGAUCAUGUGGAGCGGAAAAUCAGUCAUUGUUUUCAUGAGGCGAAUUCAAUCGCUGAUUUUCUUUCAAAGACAACAGCUAGGUUUGAGACUUCAGCCCCAGUGACAAUGUGGUUGGCU